rnacentral:misc_RNA from 2 species
AACGCACAUUGCGCUCCCUGGUAUUCCGGGGAGCAUGCCUGUUCGAGCGUCAUUAUCAACCAUCAAGCCCUGCUUGGCAUUGGGUGCCGUCCCUGCUGUGGACGCGCCCUAAAGUAAUCGGCGGUGGUGUUGAACCUCAAGCGUAGUAAAUCUCCAGCUUUCUAGGUGAGACGCCGCUCGGCCUCGAGAACCCAUCACCUCAAGGUUGACCUCGGAUCAGGUAGGGAUACCCGCUGAACUUAA